rnacentral:rRNA from 1 species
GGGGAAUCUUCCGCAAUGGACGAAAGUCUGACGGAGCAACGCCGCGUGAGUGAUGACGGCCUUCGGGUUGUAAAGCUCUGUUAAUCGGGACGAAUGGUCCUUGUGUGAAUAAUGCAAGGAUUUGACGGUACCGGAAUAGAAAGCCACGGCUAACUACGUGCCAGCAGCCGCGGUAAUACGUAGGUGGCAAGCGUUGUCCGGAAUUAUUGGGCGUAAAGCGCGCGCAGGCGGUUUCAUAAGUCUGUCUUAAAAGGGCGGGGCUUAACCCCGUGAGGGGAUGGAAACUAUGGAACUGGAGUAUCGGAGAGGAAAGCGGAAUUCCUAGUGUAGCGGUGAAAUGCGUAGAUAUUAGGAAGAACACCAGUGGCGAAGGCGGCUUUCUGGACGACAACUGACGCUGAGGCGCGAAAGCCAGGGGAGCGAAC